rnacentral:rRNA from 1 species
GACGUAGGAGGCGAGCGUUGUCCGGAUUCAUUGGGCGGAAAGAGCGCGCAGGCGGCUUGGUAAGUCGGAUGUGAAAUCCCGAGGCUCAACCUCGGGUCUGCAUCCGAUACUGCCCGGCUAGAGGUAGGUAGGGGAGAUCGGAAUUCCUGGUGUAGCGGUGAAAUGCGCAGAUAUCAGGAGGAACACCGGUGGCGAAGGCGGAUCUCUGGGCCUUACCUGACGCUCAGGCGCGAAAGCUAGGGGAGCGAACUGG